rnacentral:rRNA from 1 species
UUCCGGUUGAUCCUGCCGGACCUGACUGCUAUCGGAUUGAUACUAAGCCAUGCGAGUCUUUGCAGUAAUGCAAGGCAGACGGCUCAGUAACACGUAGUCAACUUACCCUAUGGACGAGGAUAAUCUCGGGAAACUGAGCAUAAUACUCGAUAGAUCAUAAUGCCUGGAAUGGUUUAUGGUUAAAAUGAUUCGUCGCCAUAGGAUGGGACUGCGGCCUAUCAGCUUGUUGGUGAGGUAAUGGCCCACCAAGGCGAUUACAGGUACGGGCUCUGAGAGGAGAAGCCCGGAGAUGGGUACUGAGACAAGGACCCAGGCCCUAUGGGGCGCAGCAGGCGAGAAAACUUUGCAAUGUGCGAAAGCACGACAAGGUUAGUCCGAGUGAUUUCUGCUAAAGAGAUCUUUUGCUAGUUAUAAAACCACUAGUGAAUAAGGGGUGGGCAAGUUCUGGUGUCAGCCGCCGCGGUAAAACCAGCACCUCAAGUGGUCAGGAUGAUUAUUGGGCCUAAAGCAUCCGUAGCCGGCUCUGUAAGUUUUCGGUUAAAUCCAUGCGCUCAACGCAUGGGCUGCCGAAAAUACUGCAGAGAUAGGGAGUGGGAGAGGUAGACGGUACUCGGUAGGAAGGGGUAAAAUCCUUUGAUCUAUCGAUGACCACCUGUGGCGAAGGCGGUCUACCAGAACACGUUCGACGGUGAGGGAUGAAAGCUGGGGGAGCAAACCGGAUUAGAUACCCGGGUAGUCCCAGCUGUAAACGAUGCAGACUCGAUGAUGCAUUGGCAUAUAGCCAGUGCAGUGUCGCAGGGAAGCCGUUAAGUCUGCCGCCUGGGAAGUACGUACGCAAGUAUGAAACUUAAAGGAAUUGGCGGGGGAGCACCACAAGGGGUGAAGCCUGCGGUUCAAUUGGAGUCAACGCCGG